AUGAAAUUAAUAUGAAAUAUGCAAAAUUAAAUUAAAAUUGUGGCUCUGUUUAUGGUUCGUCGUUCUAAGCUUAGUUUAUUCAAUCGAAGUAAUCCACGUAACCAAAGAUAACCAUGCUAAGCUGAGUAGAGCUGAGUAAUUGGAGGCCCGUACGAAAUUAGCUCUGCAAAUUUCGUCUAAUUAAAGGCCAUUAGUAAGUGCUGGCACGACUACUCUUCACUGCAUGCUGCAUUAAGUCUGAUUCAAAACGUUGCACUGCCGGCUUCGCGAAGUGAUUCACGGUAGAAUAAUUUAACAUUAAUCAACAGCGUGACGUAUCAUUACUAUUUUCAAAACUAUACUUAAUCAGCUACUUUCGCCCCUACUUAUCUCGACCUACUUUAACUUUAAUUAAUAACGUUUCAGAUCUUUUAUUCUAAUCUUUUUGAAUUUACCUUAUAGUUUUCAAUUUUUCCCUAAAAUUUAACAAAAAAUAUUCCUCUGAUUAAAUAAGAAAAAAAGAUUUUAAAUUGGGUCAUAGGUGAUCCACGCAGUACUCAAGGUGUUAAAAUCAGUAUUUGUUAGUUAGAAGAUUUUUCUUGUAAGAGUUAUGGAAAGAACAAUUCAGGCUUUGUAAUGGAGUUCACGUGCUCAGACAAAUCUGGCUACUUGUGUUUCGUGUUCACGUGGAGAUUGUGACUCGUUCACGUGCCAUCGAACCCCGUGUACCAAAAGAUACAAAAAUAAGUAUGAAAUGAAGUACUAUAGUAUUCUAGGAUUUAACCCUUUAACAAAAUUUGUUAAAAGUGCAACGAAGUUACUUGAGAAGCGGAGUCUAGUCCAAUCAAAACCCCCCAAAAAUGUAUAAAAUUAAAUUAAAAUCGAGACUCUCUCCAUGGUCUGCCAUCCAAGGAUUAAUCGCCUUAUUUUAUAUGUACACACUUACCUCUCAUGA